GUGUCAAAGGACGUUUCUAUGCAGGGAACAUCUUCCAGGCUCGCGGACAGUUAGCGAUGAAUGGAUGUGAACGAUGUUUUGUAUAUCCAUCAGUCCAAAAGGACAUGGUGUGUGUGACCUCAGGGAUCCUGCCACACGUCCAGAACUGUAAACCCCUGGUGAGGAACAUGUCUAAGCGUGAAGAUCUUACACAUCAACCUGAAAACAGAGCUGAUGAGAAGAAGGUGGAAUUUCAUGGUCCUCUGAUGAGUGGGAAGAUGCAGAAGGACGAGCUGCUCAGGUUUAUUCAGUAUAAAUGUCAGGAGAGUUUCCGUCAUCUGAACCAUUCUGAUCAACAGAUAUUCUAUUUCUUCUGGC